rnacentral:rRNA from 1 species
GGGGCCCGCACAAGCGGUGAGCAUGUGGUUUAAUUCGAAGCAACGCGAAGAACCUUACCAGGUCUUGACAUCCCGAUGCUAUUUCUAGAGAUAGAAAGUUACUUCGGUACAUCGGUGACAGGUGGUGCAUGGUUGUCGUCAGCUCGUGUCGUGAGAUGUUGGGUUAAGUCCCGCAACGAGCGCAACCCCUAUCGUUAGUUGCCAUCAUUCAGUUGGGCACUCUAAGGUGACUGCCGGCUAAAAGUCGGAGGAAGUGGGGAUGACGUCAAAUCAUCAUGCCCCUUAUGACCUGGGCUACACACGUGCUACAAUGGGCGGUACAAAGGGUCGCGAACCCGCGAGGGGGAGCCAAUCCCAAAAAGCCGCUCUCAGUUCGGAUUGCAGGCUGCAACUCGCCUGCAUGAAGCCGGAAUCGCUAGUAAUCGCAGGUCAGCAUACUGCGGUGAAUACGUUCCCGGGCCUU